rnacentral:rRNA from 2 species
GCGCGUCGAACGGCACGCACAGUGGUAGCAAUACCAUGGGUGGCGAGUGGCGGACGGGUGAGGAAUACAUCGGAAUCUACCUUUUCGUGGGGGAUAACGUAGGGAAACUUACGCUAAUACCGCAUACGACCUUAGGGUGAAAGCGGAGGACCUUCGGGCUUCGCGCGGAUAGAUGAGCCGAUGUCGGAUUAGCUAGUUGGCGGGGUAAAGGCCCACCAAGGCGACGAUCCGUAGCUGGUCUGAGAGGAUGAUCAGCCACACUGGAACUGAGACACGGUCCAGACUCCUACGGGAGGCAGCAGUGGGGAAUAUUGGACAAUGGGCGCAAGCCUGAUCCAGCCAUGCCGCGUGGGUGAAGAAGGCCUUCGGGUUGUAAAGCCCUUUUGUUGGGAAAGAAAAGCAGUCGGUUAAUACCCGAUUGUUCUGACGGUACCCAAAGAAUAAGCACCGGCUAACUUCGUGCCAGCAGCCGCGGUAAUACGAAGGGUGCAAGCGUUACUCGGAAUUACUGGGCGUAAAGCGUGCGUAGGUGGUUGUUUAAGUCCGUUGUGAAAGCCCUGGGCUCAACCUGGGAAUUGCAGUGGAUACUGGGCAACUAGAGUGUGGUAGAGGAUGGCGGAAUUCCCGGUGUAGCAGUGAAAUGCGUAGAGAUCGGGAGGAACAUCUGUGGCGAAGGCGGCCAUCUGGACCAACACUGACACUGAGGCACGAAAGCGUGGGGAGCAAACAGG